rnacentral:sRNA from 1 species
CCUCCCAAUAAUCUCCACAAAUGAAGAAAACUCUCCUAAUAAUCUCUCCAAAUUUAGCAAGAUUAUUAUAGCGCCAUGAGGUCCUUUGUCUGGCAUUAAAUCUUCAAGUGGAGUCUUGGAGUAGAGAAAUUGAGCCAUAUGCCAAUGACCAUACAAAUAAGCUAGCUCAAUUGGAAGCAUGUCGUGUCCAUCGGGAAUGCUGAGUAAUUCUUUGUUCUUUGGUACCAUGCAUUCAGCCAUUUUGGUAAUCCCUUUAAUUGCAGCAGUAGCAAGAGCUGUCCGAUGAUCUGUUGUUGCUUUUAUUCCCAAGUCGUCCACUUCCAUCAACCUCACCAAUUCUUUGACAAUAUCCACAUGCCCAGCCUCAACUGCAAUGUGAAGAGCUGUCUUCCCAGACGCUGGAUGUGUUACUCUUACUGCCUCCGGAUGUUUGAUGGGAAAGUCCUUUGUAGUUUCCCAACGACCAGCUUGCACAGCCUCAAAGAAAGGUUUACACUGACU